rnacentral:ncRNA from 1 species
UCUUAUCAAGAGCGCACGGAGGGACUGGCCCGAUGAUGGCGCGGCAACCAUUGGUUCAUACCAAACGGUGCCAAUUCCGAUAGGCAGUAUAGCCUAAAAGAUGAGA